UUAAUAACUCUGACUACAUCUGCUUUCUUGAUCUUAAGAUUCUUAAGUUUCCCCUCAUACUGUAGAUAAAUGGGGACGUCACUGGAUGUGCCCUGUGAA